CAGUUCCUUGAUCUUAGCAACAACAGUUUGCAAGGUGAGAUUCCAUCAUCUCUCCUCAACAUUUCUUCUUUAAGAAUGUUGUAUCUAGCCAAAAACAAUUUGAAUGGUAGUCUUCCAAUAUCAACUGGCAAUGGAACAUUGUUGGAAGAAUUAUAUUUAUCAUGGAAUUUCUUUACAGGUGAAAUUCCUUCAUUUCUUUGGAGCAUGCCUUCUUUGAGAACGGUUG